rnacentral:misc_RNA from 1 species
AAAGUUUCUUCAAAGUCAUAAGCUGAUCAAGAACUAUAAUUAGUAAAAACAAGAACCCUUAUAUAUAAUUGUUAAAAAAUAGAUAUGAGAAUAAAAUAGAAACCAUGUUAAGAAUUUAAAUUUGAAUCAUAGACAUGCUUCCAUGACUACAUAUUCAAUAAUUUGAAAAAGAAAUAAAACCCAGGAACAUAUUCACUGCAUUGUAUCAAUAUCACAUGUAAUGUAGCUUUUAAUCCGCCAUGCUGUUCUUUCUCCAGUCUCUCCUUAACUGAGUGAAAGCAUUCUUUCUACCUCCCUCCAACCUAAUAUGAAAUACUAAUAGUACUUCUUACUUGGUCUUUUAAACAUCCAAACGGAAAAGCUGCUAAUGCUUUCCUAUUCUACCCUUUAUUUUCUCAUGAUUUAACCCGACUUUCCUUUCUACUCUGUCCGAAAUUUGGUAUUUCGACUUGAUGCAGGAGAAAGAGUUUAGAAUUAUUUUGCUUUUCACAUUAUUGUCAUGCGCCAUUAUUCACACUAUUGUAGCAGUUUUAAAUUUAGGGUUAAUAUAUCUUUCCUUAAUCCUUGAUUUUUUUUAGGGGGUCAAAGCCAAUUCUAUAAAGAUUUUAUGUUCAAGACCUAGUUCUAUUAGGGUUUUAUUUUCAAAAUCUAUUUCAAUUAGGAUUCUUUGCUACAGUAUUAUAUGAAAAGGACCUUACUUUUUCCCUUUGUCUUUUCCCUUUUGAUAAAAUCAUAUGAACAAUGUUUUAGACAAUGCAUUGCCUUUCACCACAAGCAAAAUAGUCAAAUAGAAUAUUUUAUUAAAAACUAGGACAGGAUAAUGCUUAUUCCACAAACUUUGAGGGUUAAAACUAAAAAGAAUUGAGUUUCAAGGGAAUAACUAACCCUCUUAAGCUUUCUUUCCAUUCCCAAACAUCCAUAGAAAGGGAAAGGUUUUCCUAUCCUAUUUCCCUGCAUACCCCCAUCCAAAUGAAGCACAAUAAUGCCAAAGCAUAAAAGUAUAAAGCUUCUUUGUCAGUAAAUGAAUUCAGAAAGAUAAGGUACAAACAGCAAAAGUAAAAAAGAAUAAAAAAUAAGAUGAUACACAGAAUAUUUUCAUCUUGUCAUAUUUUCAAUUUUGUGAAAAAUCUUUGAAUAAAGAAAAUGUCAAGGUAUUGAUUGAAUCCUUUAUCCACCACAAGAAUCGCUUCUUCCUUGCAUAGGACAUGAAAGGAAGACAUCAGCCAGCAUAAUG